UUGCACACUACCACCAGGAAAAAUAUCACACAAGUAAGCAAAAUUAUUAUUCAUGUCAUUGAACUUUGAAAUAAAAGAAUCAUUCUCAUAAAGAUCGGAUGUGAUUACAUCAUCAUAAAAUACAUGACAAUUUUUUCUUCUAUCAGAGUAGCUAGCUCUUGUUGACUCAGCUUCUCAGGCACAUCGAUGAACUCUUCCACUUUAG
rnacentral:lncRNA from 1 species